AGGAUAUUAGAUUUCCUUAAUGCUCUGUACACAAACUAGCAACUCGGCAACAGGACGUUGCCGAGAGCGAGACCGGAGCCAUGGACGGCGAAUGUCGAGAGAUUGCGUAAAAUUAUCAAAGCUUUUAUCAGAGCGUUUAGAAAAUCUUAUAUCCGAA
rnacentral:ncRNA from 1 species